UAUACAUAUAUAUAAUAUGUAAAACCUGUUGAAGAGAAUAGAACCAUCAAACGAAGAAGAUCCGGUAACAUUAAACUCUAAGCUAAAUCAAGUACCACGAGUAAGAAGAAUCAACUGAUCUAAUCUACAUCGAUCAACACAUACAUAAUUCGAAACGAAACAAAUCUCUGUGUGCUUGUUGGAUGAAGAGAGGAAAAUUUGAUGGUUUAGAAAACUUUUUUGAAUGCAAUUCGUUGUAUGCUUUUGUCUGAUCACAUUUGCUUUAUGAGAGAGAGAGAGAGAGAGAGAGAGAUUUAUGAGAGAGAGAGAGAGAGAGAGAGAGAGAGAGAGAGAGAGAGAGAGAGAGAGAGAGAGAGA